rnacentral:lncRNA from 1 species
UAUAGGAAGAUGAAAGGUAUUAAGAUCAAGUCCUGGAAGGCGGUUGAUGGGUCUAGCUCUGUUUCUGAGAAGCCCCUAGAUGCAGUUGAUAAGGAGACGAAGACGCCUGAUGAGACUUCUCAAGUCAAGAAGCUUGAACCUGAUAGUGCACCCGUUUCUUCUCAGAAGAAGACUGAUAACAAUAAGCAAGAACUGGAAGAUUCUCUUACGGUGUCGUGUCUACCUUGUUUGUUUGUUUCUUCUUCUUUUUAUGGUAAUGAACAAUUUUAACUAAACCUUAUUGGUCUUAGGUGGUCAAGAAGAUUAUGAAGAUGGAAGCUGCUGAUCCCUUUAAUGUUCCUGUCGACCCAGAAGCUCUUGGGAUUCCUGUAAGUGUGUGAUCCAUUAGCUUCAUCUUUAUUUUAUAUAUCCGAACAUAUCAACUUUGGCUUGUGAAAGCUCAUCCCCUUCAUAGGUAAAAUAGUUCUGUGUGUUUUCUUGUAAACAGACAAAAAUCAUUUUGAUCUCAACUUAAAAUUUCUUUACUACAUUUACUAGUCUUGUUAUUUAGCAUAGGGUAUGGGUUCAUCUUUAUGUGAAGGAAAUAAUACUUGUUUUAAAUCUUUUCUUUGCUUGUCAAGGGGUUUCAGAAUUGUUGUCUAACACGUUUAGCUGUUUUCGGGUUAUGUAAUUAGGACUAUUUCGAUAUCAUCAAGACACCUAUGGAUUUUGGAACAGUAUGCAGUAAUCUUGAAAAAGGCAACGUAUACAUGAAUUCUGAGGAUGUUUACAAGGAUGUCCAGUACAUCUGGAAUAACUGUUCCAAGUACAAUAAGAAAGGCGAUUAUAUCGUCGACCUGAUGAAGCGAGUCAAGAAAAAUUUCAUGAAGUACUGGGCUGCCGCCGGAUUGUAUACUGAGCAAUCUGCAGGUAUUGUUAAAAAAUUAAUCUUCUCUAGCAUUUUACUUUUUCUUCUCACGCAUUGUUAAAUUUGGUAGGUGUAGUUUUACGUUUCUGGUUCCCCUUAGGCAUAUAAAGUAGACAUUGUGAACACAUAAAACUUUUAACAAUACCUGCAGAUUGUUAACAAUGUACAGUACUGGCAUUGUUUCUGGUAGCUAUGCACUUUGGGCUGAGUAAUAUAGCUUACGGUUUAACUUAUAUGGUUUCUUCGAUUUACGAUCAGAGAAUGCUCAAGUAGAGGAUGGUGGAAAUGCAUCCUCCAAAGGUAGUCAAUCCAAGCAGAAGAGCCAGAAGCGCCAUGGGUAUAUGCCUUUGAAACUUCUUUUUUUUUUCCUUAAUGAUACGUGGGGACUCAUAAGCAUAGUUUGGUUUCAAUGUUUCAUCAGUCUUCCUAGGUUUUAUAGACAAGAGGUUAUCUUUUGCAAAGCUACUGUAACCUAGGUUUUGUCAAAUUGUAUUCUGUUUUCUGUAUAGAGCUUGUGUUGUCCUUUAUUACUGGGAUUGGGAUUUGUGAUGGGAUUCAGUUUCAUUUGAUAGUGUCAUUACUUUCGCUUUGCAGAAGGCAUCACAAGAGUGAUUGCAUGUGUGCGGUAUGUAUUUUGAAGAGACGUAAAAGAGAACGUCACAGUUCUCAAGGAAAUUCUGGAGCAGUAGAGGUUAGUAAUGUGUUUUGUUUAUCCAAAGAGAGCACACAGCCCGGGUGCUUGGCUUCCAUUGGCUGUAACUAAAUAUCAUUCUUUCUUGAAGGAAUCUUCACCUGUGAGAAGUCCGUCUGUGGAUAAUUCAUCUAUUAAUAUGCGUGAGGAGCAGGACAUGGAUGUUGAUGUCGACAACAAAACAAGACAAGGAAAAGCAGAAAUCGUGGAACUAGAUAGUCCAGUGGCAAAAAGACAAAGAGUUGGUGAAUAUAAAAAACAAAAUGUGGAGGGAGAGGAGACCCUUGAGGUGGAGACUGAAACUAAAACUAAACCUACUGUCGAGGAUAAGACUCAAUCGAUUGAUAGAUCGACAGAAGAGACUGGUGACGAGCCCGUGACUAGUGCUGCCGAGAAAUUGGCUGUUUUAGCUUCUGUUGAAGGCCCAAAAUCAACUCAGAAUGAAGAGGAAGACAAGGCAAAACGACUCCGGGAGCAGAAGGUACUCUCCGAGCUUUUAUUAUGAUGUUUUGAUUAAGCAGCAAGCACUACUGAGAGUAAUUGUAUUAUUGCAGGAGCUGCAGGAGUUAGAGCGUAAACAAUGGAGAGCUAAGAUGCAUGAGAAGUUCCAACUCAGAAACCCUCAGCUGCUAAAUCUUUGCGAGACUAUCUUUCCUAAAAGCAACAAUCAAAGUUCUGUCUGGAACGGACCUCACUCACUGUUUAAACGUCCAGAAGGCUCAAAUCGUACUAGUUCCUUGCACAAAGCAGUGGAAGCCUUGAUGAGAAGUAGUAGUUAAGGAUUCACAAUGUAACAUAAGUAUUUAGCUAUCGUUCUUCGCUUUGCCUGUUUAGAUAUGUUUGAUUGAUACAUCAAAUGUCAAACACCAUAAGAUUCUUUUCACUGAAAGCAGAAACAUCAAUUUGUUCAUGAAUUUUUAGACAAAAUGGAUUCGCUUUUACAUAAUGAUUUGACUGCCAUGAGACGAUAAGAAGGGAAUAAAACGUCAAUUAAGGCAUUGACUUAACUAUUCCACACAAUGUCAAAAAAUUGUCCAGUUGAUUAUUGGGUUAAGUUGUGUUUCCUUAAAAAAAACCUACAGAAUUACCAAAUGUGAUUAUGAUAUAUAUAGUAAUUAAUGAUUUCAAAUAAUGAAGAUUUGCUAAUAAUCUGUAUACUUUCUAUCAUUUUUGUUUAAUUUUUUAUUAUUAAAAUAAAUUACACAAUUACAUUGAUCAUAUAUUAAAAAUUUAUAUUUUUUUGUAUAUGUUGUAUUUUGAAUUUUUGAAAACGAGUACAAAUUACUAAAAUUGUUAAAAGUCUCACAUAAACUUGUGUGAUCAAUGUUUAAAUAUUUUCUAUAAUAAGAUACUAUGAUAAUAAAAUCAUAUAAAUAAAUAAUUUUAUUUUAGUAGGUGUUUAUGUUAAUAUAUAUAUACUUCAUAUCGUUUAAAUUUAAUUAUAUAUAAUAUACGAUAGAUAAGAUUGAUUGUUUUGAUCUAUUUAUCCUAAAAUGAUUGCGAAUAAACAAGCGUGGUCAUUUGAUUUAUAUGUGCAAGUCAAUUUAUUACAUGAUAGUAACUGAUGUCUUAGUUAUUUAAUAUAUAAUUAUUAUUUUACUAUUUCAUAAUAUGCAUAAAAAUAUAAAAUAAGUAAUAUAUAUAUAAAAUAUUUAUUCUUCACAAGACGUCGAUCUUAACCUAAGUAUGUAUCUCUUUAAUAAUUUUGAAUCUUAAACAUUUUUUAAAUCUGAGGCGAAAUAAAAUAAAAAAAUGAGAAUAAACUCAAAAAUCAAUAUUUAUAUCAAGCAAUAACCAAAAUAACACAAAAAGGAGAAAAAUAUCGAAGAUAAAUAGGAUUGACACGUGAACGUAAACUUCUCAUAAACAUAAUUAACUUUUAAAUUGUUAAAUCAUGAUAUAAAACCGAGCUGACAUAGUUUCACUGUAACCAAAUAGUAGGCAUGAGAUUCUUCGGCCUAAACGUUAGGUUUUUAUGCGAUAAAUAAUUUUUGACCUAAAAUAUUUUAAAAAAUAGGAUUAGUUCAUUAGUAGACAAAUUAUGUAAUUAACAAAAAAAAAAUUUUAAAUUUUUUUAAGGACCAAAAAUAUUAAUUCGAUCAAUAAUCUAAAUUUUAUUUUCAUACGAUAUUUUUAAAUAAUUUUCAUUUAAAUUUACUCUGCGCAAGACGCAUGUCUUAUCCUAGUACAAUACUACAACAUAUUUUGCCAAACCCUAGACCAAAGAAUAUCAUGACUCACUACUUUCACUCAUCUAUGUUGAAAAUAAUUCAAUUUUAUUAUAUUUUAAUUUAUAUCACUUAAAACUGUUUAUAAUUACAUGAUUUUAAUUUUUUGCUUAUCAAAAUAUUUUUUACAAAAUUUAUAAAUUAUUUUUAAGAUCCACUACACCAGACAACUUCCGUAACUUCCGUGGACGUCGUCCAGAAGACUCGGAAGACUUAGCAGGGAUAUAUUCGUAAAAAUGAGUUAUGUUUUUAUGUUUGGUCACAAGGGACUGUGUGUAAUUUCACAAGGUUUUUAGGUUACUUUUUGCAUUUGAUUCAAAUUUGGGUAUAUUUUUACAAUCAAAGUCAAAUUUUGAAUCAUAUUUGGCAAAUUCAUUUGAAAGGGCUGUAAUGUCAAAAAGUCCAUAGUUACCCAAAACAUUACUGGAAGGGUUGUAAUGUCAAAAAAUUCAUUAAAAUUUUGCAUAUUUGAGUUUUUGACGCUUGUUUUGUUUUGGAUUUGGCACAUAUGCAUUUUUUGCUUGGCCCAUAACAAACCCAUUAGCAAAAACGACGACGUAAGUGUUAAAUCUGCAGAGAAGGGUCUUAAAACUCUAAAAAAGCACCGAAUCGUCUGGGGUCUAAUAAGCGACGCUCGAAGAAUUACGAGUCGAAAGUCGAAAGCGCGGUCUCGUCGAGUUCUAUUAAAAGUUUGUUUGGUAAAAAUCUCUGUUUCCCUCCAACUUUUUGAAUCUCUCCCUCUUCCUCUUCCCCCGCAAGAUUCUCUGCUCUGCUGGUUUGCCCUAGAUCUAGUGUUUAGUGAGUGAUUCAAGAUUGUUUUGAUUCGAUUAGCCUAUAUAUGAUCGGAUCUCUUGAUUGCAAAUUGUUUGUCUUCUUUCGGAUAAUCUAAUCCAAUCAAGGUUUUUGCAGGAGUCUCUCGCUCGUAGCUGUGAUGAAGCGUAAGGGAGGACAUAAGAAAGGGAACAAGUCUAAAAAGUCCACCGAACCAGAGACUUUGAAUGAGUCUGUUCAAAACAGCGACUCUGAGCAAAGUUCGGGUGAGUGUGAGAAGAGUAAAACGGAGGUUGAUGCACCUGACAGUUCACCUAGUGUAGAUCCGGUUAAGUCUGUGGGGCGUGUUAAGGUUAAACUGAAGACCUCCUCCAAAGCACUUGAACCUGAUGUUCCCUUGACUACUCCUCAAAAAGAGGAUCCUGUUCCUCCUCGUUUGCCUGAGCGAAAACCAGUUCUCAACGUUUAUAGGAAGAUGAAAGGUAUUAAGAUCAAGUCCUGGAAGGCGGUUGAUGGGUCUAGCUCUGUUUCUGAGAAGCCCCUAGAUGCAGUUGAUAAGGAGACGAAGACGCCUGAUGAGACUUCUCAAGUCAAGAAGCUUGAACCUGAUAGUGCACCCGUUUCUUCUCAGAAGAAGACUGAUAACAAUAAGCAAGAACUGGAAGAUUCUCU